UACGUAGGUGGCGAGCGUUGUCCGGAUUUACUGGGCGUAAAGAGCGCGCAGGCGGUCUUAUAAGUCGAAUGUGAAAGCCCCUGGCUCAACUAGGGAGAGUCAUUCGAUACUGUUCGACUCGAAGGCAGGAGAGGGAAGUGGAAUUCCGGGUGUAGUGGUGAAAUGCGUAGAUAUCCGGAGGAACACCAGUGGCGAAGGCGACUUUCUGGCCUGUUCUUGACGCUGAGGCGCGAAAGCUAGGGGAGCAAACGGG
rnacentral:rRNA from 1 species